GUCAUGGCCUAAUGGUUAGCGAGUCAGCCUUGGAACCUGAAGGUCGUGGGUUUGAGUCUCAGGACC